rnacentral:rRNA from 1 species
UACGGGGGGUGCAAGCGUUACUCGGAAUCAUUGGGCGUAAAGGGCGCGCAGGCGGCCUGGUUAGUCAGAUGUGAAAGCCCGGGGCUCAACCCCGGAAGUGCAUUUGAUACUGCCAGACUUGAGUAUGGGAGAGGGAAGUGGAAUUCCUGGUGUAGAGGUGAAAUUCGUAGAUAUCAGGAGGAACACCGGUGGCGAAGGCGACUUCCUGGACCAAUACUGACGCUGAGGCG